CCUUAUGUUUCAGCACAACGUUUCAUUAGGAACCGCAAGGUACACGUUACAGGGUAUGACGAUUCACAAAGCAGACCACUUCACAUGCAUCUUCAAAGAGGCAGGUCGUUGGUAUUGCUAUGAUGGGCUGACUGGUGACGUAAUGGAGACAGCAUCUCCAUUGCCAGCAAGAGGGGAAACAAUAGGGUAUCUUGUGUACCUGCUGGACGAUGUUACAUCAUGACGGCAAUAAUGAACGCGAUGAAUGGAGUGAGCGCCGAAGGCGUAUCGUGCUCUGAUUGUCUGACUGGACUUACUUAGGGCCAGAGGCGUCGAUGGGGUGGGGGUGGCAACCCCUCAUCAGUGAGAGAGUUUCAAGUCCCCCGAGUGACAUGUCCAAGACUGGUAUUACCUUAGCAAUGUUCAUUUUGCUUCGUACUAUGCCAUCUACUAAAGACAUAUCAAAUACAAAUGUCAACGGAGAGACUAUUUCAUGGAUAUUAGUUUUGAGGAGAUAAUUUGAAAUAACAUAACCAGAACCUUUGUUUACAUUUAAGUUAUUCACGAUAUCAAUAAUCUCUGUUUCAUGUACAGGUACAACAAAUAAUGAUUGAGGAUUUGAAUUUCUUAGGAACGAGUGGAAACAGUUAUUUGUAGCAAGGAUGUUACUGGCAAGGCCUGGCCCUAAAUUCACACCGAAAAGUUGAAUGCCUCUGCUUUGCCGAGAGGGUCUUUUAUUUCGGUUCCGUUGUAGACGAUCUUACUUAAUUCGAAUUGUUUCUUUUCACCUUUUCUGAGAACAUUAUUGAUAAUGUUCCAGGUUGAAUUUAUGUCUUUUUAUGUGUGGUGAAUU